rnacentral:snRNA from 1 species
GUGCUCACUUCGACAGCACAUAUGCUAAAAUUGGAACGAUACAGAAAAGGUUAGCAUGGUCCCUGCAGCAAAGAUGACAUGCAAAUUCUUGAAGCGUUCCAUUAAAAU